rnacentral:lncRNA from 1 species
CUGCCCGGGGCAGCAAGGUUGGGUGGAAGGAACCAGGGACAGAACUGUAUUGGAAUUCAGUCCCAUCUAUCGGCUUUUGUGUUCUGGAGCAGGCAACUUCCCCUGCCUACCAGAGUACGGAAUCCUGCUCAAAGCGUGGUGUGAGGAGUCGUGAAACCGCAUAGGAACAAUGCCUAGCACAUGAAUUCCUAUCAGAACCGCUUUUACUGCCUCCCCCGGCGACGUUCCCGGCCCGCCAACGUUUCUUUCGUCCUUACAAGGCCAGCUUCCACCCGCUGCUUUUGUGUAAAUAAAGCCUGGCCUUCUGCCUGCAGGUUGCCGCCAGAAGCCGGCCGGUGGGGGAAGGGUUCGGAACCGGUACGACCGCCUCAGCCGCGCCGGGAGAGGCCGAGAGUCCGCCACGCUCAGCCGUCGCGCGGGGGCGGUACUCCGGGCCCCCCAGGAUGAGCCGAGCCGAGAAACCCAGCACGAGAAAGUCCCCACCCACCUGCACCCUCUUCCGUGGGUCACCCCGCGCGUGGCAGGCCCUUGACAAAUAUCGUCCUGAAUUCUCCCCGCGAUCCUGGGAGUAUCCUCCCCAUUUUAUAGACGAGAGACUGAGGCUUACCAAGUGUAAGGGGCUUGACCGAGGUCCCAUAGGCGAAAAAAGUGGCAAACCAAGAACUUCUAACCGAAUAUAUCUGGCUGCAAAAUCCAGUCUUCUCCCAUCCCACCGGUCACCAGUGAGACUGUAAAGGUCUUAAAGGAGAAGAAUAAGAAAAAAAAUAACCACACGAAUCAGAUUAACAGAUCGUAAGGAAUUGAAAGGGCCUUCCAGAGCUGCUGGUAUUUCAAACAAGUGGACUCGAACCACAGGAUAAGUAACAAACUACUUUUCCUGGGUGACCAAUCAUACUUUUUUUUUAAUU